CAAUGAUGUUUUUAUAGUUUCUAAAUAUCUCCUGAAAGAGAGGAGUUUGAAAUACUAAUCAUAAAGCUUCUACUGUGUUCAUUACAUGGUAGUAUAUAAAUAGUCUACAUUCACGAUAAAUAAAGUUUGGAAAUUUAUACAAAAGUUUGUAAAUUUGUAAAUUUUACAGAGGCCUUGCAUUAAAAUGUUAGGGUUUUGUUUGUUUGUCUUUUUGUGAAGCACCCAGCCACUAUUGAACAAUUAAAUCAACAUUUCAGAAUCCUUUGGUGGCUGGUCAUGUUUAAAGGGUGGUUUCUAAGUAGUCAAUUGUUUGAGCCAGAGAUAAAACUAAUUCAGUAGGGAACGGGAUUGGACUAAAAUUAUUUGUACAUUUUGGCACUUGAUCACUAUCAUUACUAUAACUUUUGACAUACUACAAAAAUGAGGUGCAAUGUGUACUCUCAUGUAACGUUAGGUCCUGUUGUCCCAUAUGAGAAAUCCCAAAGUGACUGUCAAACUGGAUUUGUGUUUCGUUGAUGUUUUAUAAGAACUAAAGGCCAAACAAAGUAAUCUGAGAGUUAGAAAAUUCUGAGUUGAUAAUAGUUCUUAGUAACAGCCUCAUUCUUUUAAGAGAGAUAAGUUACAAAGCCAUAUGGUCUUGUUUGUGACGUCCUGUGGGUUCUGAACUAUAAAUAUUUUCUUUCCUAGAAGACAGGUGUGGACUUCCUCUGAAUAUUUGGGUAAAUUACAGAGACCACUGCUACCACCAAACUGUGGAAGUGGUCUUUUUUUUAAUUUCUAAUUUUGUGUUUUUUUGAAUGUUUCCUUUUUAGAGACAGGAAGGAUCAGAUGAUGGUAAGAUUGACUUUCUUCUGUACUUCUGGGAUACAAACAUCUAGAAGGUACCAGUCAAAAGAAGGGCUUACCAGCUGCUCUAGACCAGUGAAAGGGACACUGUCUUGCUUUAUUUUGUACUCAUCUUUCCCAGGGUCUCGAUGUCUUUUGCUUAAAGAGUUGGAGGAAAUAGAAACGACUCCUGGGGACAGAAUUUAGAAG
rnacentral:lncRNA from 1 species